UACGUAGGUGACAAGCGUUGUCCGGAUUUACUGGGCGUAAAGAGCGCGCAGGCGGUCGAUCAAGUCGAGUGUGAAAGCCCCCGGCUCAACUGGGGAGGGUCAUUCGAUACUGAUCGACUCGAAGGCAGGAGAGGGUAGUGGAAUUCCCGGUGUAGUGGUGAAAUGCGUAGAUAUCGGGAGGAACACCAGUGGCGAAGGCGGCUUCCUGGCCUGUUCUUGACGCUGAGGCGCGAAAAGCU
rnacentral:rRNA from 1 species